AUUUUGUUAUAUAUUUUCAUAUAGAAGUAUAAAAGUAUGGCGCGAGUUUGCUGUAUUAAAACUACCGGCAAAACCAAAACAAGAGGGCAUCGAGCGCUUUUUCAAAUACCAAAAGUACUCUUGUCAUCGAUGAAAUGAAAGUUAGUGCAGGAUUUUCAUUCAAUAGAAGUUGACUUAAAUUUACUGGUUUAGUUGAUCUGGGGGAGUAUAUUCCUAAACAUCAAGCGAGUGAGCAAGGUGAUCAUGCACUAGUGGAGUUUUUUCAAGCAAAGGAUGUGCAAGUGGUACAGUUCUACAACAUUUAGCGUUAGAAUGCACUAUUUUACUUGAACAAUCAGGCUUCUACGUUGAUAACAUCACAACUGAUGGUGCUACUCAGAACCGAAAAAUGUGGAAAGAUUUUGGCUUGAAAGAUGAUGAUAACAGUUGUGCCCAUCCAUGUAGAAAUAUUGAUUUUAAUGAUGGCUCAUCCACUAGGAGUCAUGAACGUUUAUACUUUUGUUCAGACUAUUCACACUUACAUAAGCUUGUAAAAGGGCUUCAUGUAAAUCACUUAUCUUUUUCUUCUUUUCUUGAUUCAUCGUUCAUUUGUUGGUAUUUUUUGCUUAUUACUUGAGCUCGUUAAAUAGUAUAAAUAUUAAGUAUUGCUUUCGUGAGAGAUUCUUGGUGAUGAGAACAUCCUACAAAAGAGGUUUCUUUAUUGAGAAUGUUAUCAGCUAUUUUUAAAAAGCUAUAAGCUAUCUUUAAAAGCCCUUUCAAGGGCACUAAUGAGGUUGUAAAGUGUUGUUGAUGGAUACUUUAAAUAGUCAUGGGACAAUUGAUCAAUUAGUUUAUCUUUUUCCAAGUCACCGCGCUUUUUUGUCACAGACAUGACGCAGUCUGGACAAGAAGUAAUUUUUUUGCAAUUCAGAAAUUUUUUAUUCGAUAAAGAAGAAGUAUGGACUCCUGAUGGUGUAAUAAGAAAAAAACACUGGGAAGCAGUCAUAAAAUUAGACAGUGGGAAGACAAAUAUAGGGCUGGAGAUAGCUUAUAAAUUAACACCAGAUCACCUUAAUCCGAAGUACUGGCAAAAAAUGAAUGUUGGAAUGGCAUUUAAGGUAUUUUCUGAAAGAGUCGUUGCUUCAAUGAAAAUACACAAAAAUAGCUGUCCUGAGUUGCAUAACUGUGAGUCUACUAUCAAGUUUAUCGAACGUAUUCAAAAUGCAAGAACUGCAAUGCCCUCACGUUCAAUCAAGAACUCUUUACAAUAUGGCAAUGAGCAUUACUAUGAAGGUCAUCGUUGAUUUUCGAUUGUACUUGCAAAACUGGAACAAUGUAGCUAAAGAAAAAGAGUACCGUUUUAUAUCAAACAGUACAUACACUGGAUUUUUAGUUACGCUUCAAACAACUAUUGAUGUCAUGGAUUUUUUAAGUGAGAAAUGUGGAUAUUCAUAUCUUAUGACUGCUCGCCUAAACCAAGAUGCUUUGGAGGCUUUCUUUGGCAUGAUUCGAUCAGUUUAUGGAUCAAGUGAUCGCCCAGGCUCCUUGCUUUUCAUACAAGUGUACCGACUGUUAAGCUUCUACUCACUUAUAAAACCUCCAAAAAAGAUCGAACGUAGAAAGAAUCGGUAUAUUUGAAAUUUUAUUUAAUUCAGAUCAUCUUGAUGAAGAUGAAAAUCAAUUGCAAUGGUCGAACAUACUGAAUAAAAUAAUAGAAAAAGAGAACAACCAACCCAAGCAGUGUGAUGGCAAAGACGACCUCAUGGUCAUCCUUACAACAUGGAUACUUCAGAAGAAUAUGUGGUUGAAUACAUGGCUGAUUUUAUAGCAUAUAAAUGCAAAAAAAUUAUUUCUUGUCCAGACUGCGUCAUGUCUGUGACAAAAAAGCGCGGUGACUUGGAAAAAGAUAAACUAAUUGAUCAAUUGUCCCAUGACUAUUUAAAGUAUCCAUCAACAACACUUUACAACCUCAUUAGUGCCCUUGAAAGGGCUUUUAAAGAUAGCUUAUAGCUUUUUAAAAAUAGCUGAUAACAUUCUCAAUAAAGAAACCUCUUUUGUAGGAUGUUCUCAUCACCAAGAAUCUCUCACGAAAGCAAUACUUAAUAUUUAUACUAUUUAACGAGCUCAAGUAAUAAGCAAAAAAUACCAACAAAUGAACGAUGAAUCAAGAAAAGAAGAAAAAGAUAAGUGAUUUACAUGAAGCCCUUUUACAAGCUUAUGUAAGUGUGAAUAGUCUGAACAAAAGUAUAAACGUUCAUGACUCCUAGUGGAUGAGCCAUCAUUAAAAUCAAUAUUUCUACAUGGAUGGGCACAACUGUUAUCAUCAUCUUUCAAGCCAAAAUCUUUCCACAUUUUUCGGUUCUGAGUAGCACCAUCAGUUGUGAUGUUAUCAACGUAGAAGCCUGAUUGUUCAAGUAAAAUAGUGCAUUCUAACGCUAAAUGUUGUAGAACUGUACCACUUGCACAUCCUUUGCUUGAAAAAACUCCACUAGUGCAUGAUCACCUUGCUCACUCGCUUGAUGUUUAGGAAUAUACUCCCCCAGAUCAACUAAACCAGUAAAUUUAAGUCAAUUUCUAUUGAAUGAAAAUCCUGCACUAACUUUCAUUUCAUCGAUGACAAGAGUACCGGAGUAUGCACACGAAAAUUCAGGGCUAUAUUAAAAAAUAGUAUGAGUUGUUUUUUUUUCAAUUUCAAAAUAUAUUAAAUUACCACGUCGAUAAAAUGGCUGCAUUUCCAAUGCUUCUGCUUUCAUGAGCUUGAAUAUUUCAUCUUGAAACCCAUAUGAUGGUUUCAUUUUAUUCAUAAAUUUAUUAAGAGUGGCAAUUUUUGGGACUUGCGAAAUAUGAUGCUCUCUAAUAUGUUCGUAUGUUCGUCGACUUUUAAUUCGUAGUAAAAUCGCGAGAAGAUUUGGCAGCAUCGAAGCACGCUUUAACUGCUUCUCGCUGGCUACUAUGGAGCUUUGAUAAAGCAUUUUAAAUAACUUCUUCUGAGGUUGAAGCCCAUUUCAGUUGGAGUUGUUUCAAAUUGUCUUGUACCUCUUUUAUCUGUAAACAAUUUAAUUUUGAGUAAUAAACUUAUAUGAAAUUUAACAAAUCAAUUUACCUUUUAUUUUUUAAAUAAAUUC